rnacentral:rRNA from 1 species
AAUGGAGGCAACUCUGAUCCAGCCAUGCCGCGUGAAGGAAGACGGCCUAUGGGUUGUAAAUUUCUUUUAUACGGGAAGAACCUUUCCACGUGUGGAAAGCUGACGGUACUGUAAGAAUAAGGAUCGGCUAACUCCGUGCCAGCAGCCGCGGUAAUACGGAGGAUCCAAGCGUUAUCCGGAAUUAUUGGGUUUAAAGGGUCCGCAGGCUGUUUGUUAAGUCAGAGGUGAAAUCCUACCGCUCAACGGUAGAACUGCCUUUGAUACUGGCAAACUUGAGUUAUUGUGAAGUAGUUAGAAUGUGUAGUGUAGCGGUGAAAUGCAUAGAUAUUACACAGAAUACCGAUUGCGAAAGCAGAUUACUAACAAUAUACUGACGCUGAGGGACGAAAGCGUGGGUAGCGAACAGGAUU